UUCGCGUUUAUAACGUCUGUGUUUACCGACUGCUCAUAAAUUAGUCGGUAAAAAGAGAUUUACCGACCGCAAAAUAGAUAGUCGGUAAAAAAUUAUUUAGCGACCGCGCAAGCAGUCAGUAAAAUAUUAUUUAGCGACAGCAAACAAAUGGUCGAAUUUUUUUUAUUUUAGCGACCGUCCAAGCAGUCGGUAAACUAUUAUUUAGCGACCGCAAAACAGAUGGUCGGAAAAAAAUUAUUUAGCGACCGUCCAAACAGUAGGUAAAAUAUUAUUUACGACCGCAAAAUAAAUAGUCGGUAAAAAAUUAAAUUCCCGACUGCCCUCACCCACACCCUCACCCAAACCCUAAUUAAAGCCCAGUCCCACACCCUCACCCUCACCCCAAACCCUAAUCUAAACUUGAAACCCGCCUCUUUCUCUCACCUCCUCUCUUUCUCUCACGGUUGUUCUCUUUCUCUGCCUCCCCCUCCACCUCCCCCUCUCCCCCACUUUUUUUCUUGUUAAAAAUCAACAUCAACGCAUCAACACAACAACAUCAGCGCAUCAAGCCUUCAAUUUUGGAUCGAUUAUAAGGAAUUUGCUCCAGUUUAGAUUUCCAGAUCUAGUAUUAUGGUGAAUAACUCGAGAGAACAAAGUAAUUGAAGUAAGAAGCUAGGGAGCAUGAGCAGCGUCGGAAGUUACAGAUUUCCGUCUUUCUGGUCCAGUUUGUUUGAAUUAGUAAUUUGGUGAUUUUUAAAUUUUCAGAUCUAGUCUCUAUUAGAAAUUUUGGUAUGUAAUUAUUUGAAUUUUUAUUUUUGUAGUUGGGUUGGAUUUA